rnacentral:tRNA from 1 species
UUCGUAGCUCAGUUGGUCAGAGCGCUGCGUUCACAUCGCAGAGGCCGCAGGUUCAAGUCCUGCCGGACC